rnacentral:rRNA from 1 species
GCUUGCUUGCUUUGACGACGACCGGCGCACGGGUGAGUAACGCGUAUCCAACCUGCCCCUUACUACGGGACAGCCCGGCGAAAGUCGGAUUAAUACCGUAUGUGGUGUGAAGAGGACAUCUGACUUACACUAAAGAUUCGUCGGUAAGGGAUGGGGAUGCGUCCGAUUAGGUUGUCGGCGGGGUAACGGCCCACCGAGCCUUCGAUCGGUAAGGGUUCUGAGAGGAAGGUCCCCCACACUGGAACUGAGACACGGUCCAGACUCCUACGGGAGGCAGCAGUGAGGAAUAUUGGUCAAUGGGCGAGAGCCUGAACCAGCCAAGUAGCGUGAGGGAAGACUGCCCUAUGGGUUGUAAACCUCUUUAGUCUGGGAAUAAAGUUGGCGACGUGUCGCCUUUUGUAGGUAACCAGAAGAAUAAGGACCGGCUAAUUCCGUGCCAGCAGCCGCGGUAAUACGGAAGGUCCGGGCGUUAUCCGGAUUUAUUGGGUUUAAAGGGAGCGCUGGCGGCCUGUUAAGCGGGCAGUUAAAGGCGGUGGCUCAACCAUCGUUAGCUGUCCGAACUGAUAGGCUUGAGUACGUGCGAGGUAUGCGGAAUUCGUGGUGUAGCGGGUUGAAAUGCUUUAGAAUAYCACGAAGAACCCCGAAUUGCGAAAGGGCAGCAUAACCAGUGCGCCACUGACGCUAAAGCCUCGAAAGCGCCGGGUUAUCGAACAGGAUUAGAUACCCCUGGUAGUCCGCGCGGUUAAACGAUGGAUGCCCGCUGUGCGGCCUUUUAUGGUUGCGCGGCCAAGCGAAAGCGUUAAGCAUCCCACCUGGGGAGUACGCCGGCAACGGUGAAACUCAAAGGAAUUGACGGGGGCCCGCACAAGCGGAGGAACAUGUGGUUUAAUUCGAUGAUACGCGAGGAACCUUACCCGGGCUUGAAUUGCAGCUGCAUGGGGCAGAGAUGUCCCUUCCCUUCGGGGCUGCUGUGAAGGUGCUGCAUGGUUGUCGUCAGCUCGUGCCGUGAGGUGUCGGCUUAAGUGCCAUAACGAGCGCAACCCCCCUCCCCGGUUGCCAUCGGGUAAUGCCGGGCACUCCGUGGACACUGCCACCGCAAGGUGUGAGGAAGGUGGGGAUGACGUCAAAUCAGCACGGCCCUUACGUCCGGGGCUACACACGUGUUACAAUGGCAGGCACAGAGAGCUGGCCCGUCGCAAGACGCGUCGAAUCCUUAAAUCCUGCCUCAGUUCGGACUGGGGUCUGCAACCCGACCCCACGAAGCUGGAUUCGCUAGUAAUCGCGCAUCAGCCAUGGCGCGGUGAAUACGUUCCCGGGCCUUGUACACACCGCCCGUCAAGCCAUGAAAGCCGGGGGCGCCUGAAGUCCGUGACC